rnacentral:rRNA from 1 species
GAACGCUGGCGGCAGGCCUAACACAUGCAAGUCGAACGGUAACAGGAAGAAGCUUGCUUCUUUGCUGACGAGUGGCGGACGGGUGAGUAAUGUCUGGGAAACUGCCUGAUGGAGGGGGAUAACUACUGGAAACGGUAGCUAAUACCGCAUAACGUCGCAAGACCAAAGAGGGGGACCUUCGGGCCUCUUGCCAUCGGAUGUGCCCAGAUGGGAUUAGCUAGUAGGUGGGGUAAAGGCUCACCUAGGCGACGAUCCCUAGCUGGUCUGAGAGGAUGACCAGCCACACUGGAACUGAGACACGGUCCAGACUCCUACGGGAGGCAGCAGUGGGGAAUAUUGCACAAUGGGCGCAAGCCUGAUGCAGCCAUGCCGCGUGUAUGAAGAAGGCCUUCGGGUUGUAAAGUACUUUCAGCGGGGAGGAAGGGAGUAAAGUUAAUACCUUUGCUCAUUGACGUUAACCGCAGAAGAAGCACCGGCUAACUCCGUGCCAGCAGCCGCGGUAAUACGGAGGGUGCAAGCGUUAAUCGGAAUUACUGGGCGUAAAGCGCACGCAGGCGGUUUGUUAAGUCAGAUGUGAAAUCCCCGGGCUCAACCUGGGAACUGCAUCUGAUACUGGCAAGCUUGAGUCUCGUAGAGGGGGGGUAGAAUUCCAGGUGUAGCGGUGAAAUGCGUAGAGAUCUGGAGGAAUACCGGUGGCGAAGGCGGCCCCCUGGACGAAGACUGACGCUCAAGUGCGAAAGCGUGGGGAGCAAACAGGGAUUAGAUACCCUGGUAGUCCACGCCGUAAACGAUGUCGACUUGGAGGUUGUGCCCUUGAGGCGUGGGCUUCCGGAGGUAACGCGUUAAGUCGACCGCCUGGGGGAGUACGGCCGCAAGGUUAAAACUCAAAUGGAAUUGACGGGGGCCCGCACAAGCGGUGGAGCAUGUGGUUUAAUUCGAUGCAACGCGAAGAACCUUACCUGGUCUUGACAUCCACAGAACUUUCCAGAGAUGGAUUGGUGCCUUCGGGAACUGUGAGACGGGUGCUGCAUGGCUGUCGUCAGCUCGUGUUGUGAAAUGUUGGGUUAAGUCCCGCAACGAGCGCAACCCUUAUCCUUUGUUGCCAGCGGUCCGGCCGGGAACUCAAAGGAGACUGCCAGUGAUAAACUGGAGGAAGGUGGGGAUGACGUCAAGUCAUCAUGGCCCUUACGACCAGGGCUACACACGUGCUACAAUGGCGCAUACAAAGAGAAGCGACCUCGCGAGAGCAAGCGGACCUCAUAAAGUGCGUCGUAGUCCGGAUUGGAGUCUGCAACUCGACUCCAUGAAGUCGGAAUCGCUAGUAAUCGUGGAUCAGAAUGCCACGGUGAAUACGUUCCCGGGCCUUGUACACACCGCCCGUCACACCAUGGGAGUGGGUUGCAAAAGAAGUAGGUAGCUUAACCUUCGGGAGGGCGCUUACCACUUUGUGACUCAUGACUGGGGUGAAGU